GAAAUUUCCACAUUCCUUAGGAUAUAAAUUUGUUCUUUUUCUUCAUACCUAUUGUUGGGUAUCUAUUUGUAAAUAGUUUGGUUGGCUGUAAGACUUGGUGGUGUAAACAUCACAUUAAUGUUGCUCCGUUAGGAGUGUAUAAGGCCAUUCCUUCUUAAAUGCUAUUUAUUAUUUUGAGUGAUCACUCUUUGUUUUUUCGUUUUAUUUAUUUACUUUAAUAAUGCAUGUUCGCGCUUUCUUUGGUUAGGAAAGGGCAGACUCCAGUGCUAAAUUUGGGCUUGGCCUUUUCUUGUGGCUCGACCACCUUUAACUUUGAGCUUCGGCUUUUACUCUAAUAAAUUUAAUACUUGUUCCUAACCUAUUGGGAAAGCUUGAUGCUUUCUUAACUUAACUUACUUGUUAAUUUUGGAGUCUGCCCUCUCUUUCUUCUACUUUCAUUAUUUCCCUUAACUUGGCCUCUCAAAUUGCCUCUUAAAAUUACAGCUAGAUCCGCUUGCUGGCAAAAGAUUUUAAGGUUGGUGCGGGCUGAUGCUAUUCUGAAAUAGUGCGACAUACAUUCAGGCUAGUACUGAGUUUAUAUUAUUGUUACCAUUCAUUUUACAGCAAUACCUUUUUUUUUGUUCAAUAGAAUAACUGCGAGUCUGGUGGGAUACGUAUUUGCGAUCUUUUUUGGAACCGUCAUCUGCACCUGGCUUAGAAUUUAAAGAUCCUUCUGGAUAUUCUGGUUAUGUUGGGCUGGGCUUGUUCGUCUGUGUAACGUCGGCGAGCCUGUAUGAACCAGCAAGCAAGCGUUAUUUUUUGAGACUUGGUUCCUUCCUAAUUUCUGUGAAUGCGUCUUGAUUCCUCAAGCUUGCGGGACCAGUCGUCUAUGGGAUCAAGUUCCACAAUAAAAGUUCAAUCUGUU